rnacentral:rRNA from 1 species
UACGUAGGGUGCAAGCGUUAAUCGGAAUUACUGGGCGUAAAGCGUGCGCAGGCGGUUAUGUAAGACAGAUGUGAAAUGCCCGGGCUUAACUUGGGAACUGCAUUUGUGACUGCAUGGCUAGAGUUUGGCAGAGGGGGGUAGAAUUCCACGUGUAGCAGUGAAAUGCGUAGAUAUGUGGAGGAACACCGAUGGCGAAGGCAGCCCCCUGGGUCAAGACGCUGACGCUCAUGCACGAAAGCGUGGGGAGCAAACAGG